CCUACGGGGCGCAGCAGUGAGGAAUAUUGGUCAAUGGGCGCGAGCCUGAACCAGCCAAGUCGCGUGAGGGAUGACGGUCCUACGGAUUGUAAACCUCUUUUGCCGGGGAGCAAGCGUGCGUUCGUGAACGCGCGUCGCGAGUACCCGUAGAAAAAGCAUCGGCUAACUCCGUGCCAGCAGCAGCGGUAAUACGGAGGAUGCGAGCGUUAUACGGAUUUAUUGGGUUUAAGGGGUCAGUGGGGGGGAGGCAAAGUCAGCGGUAAAGAUGCGGUGCUGAACGCCGACGUGCCGUUGAAACUGGCUUUCUUGAGUAGGCUAGAAGUAUGCGGAAUGCGUGGUGUAGCGGUGAAAUGCAUAGAUAUCACGCAGAACUCCGAUUGCGAAGGCAGCAUACCGGCGCCCUACUGACGCUGAGGCACGAAAGCGUGGGUAUCGAACAGGAUUAGAUACCCCAGUAGUC
rnacentral:rRNA from 1 species